UACGGAAUGUGCAAACGUUAUUCGGAAUCACUGGGCUUAAAGAGUCCGUAGGCGGCAUGUUAGGUGAGGUGUGAAAUCCCCCCGGCUCAACCGAGGAAUUGCGCUUCAAACCGGCGUGCUUGAGGAAGAUAGAGGUGGGCGGAACUGAUGGUGGAGCGGUGAAAUGCGUUGAUAUCAUCAGGAACACCGGAGGCGAAAGCGGCCCACUGGGUCUUAUCUGACGCUGAGGGACGAAAGCUAGGGGAGCGAACGGGAGUUAGAAACCCUA
rnacentral:rRNA from 1 species